GCAGUCGAGCGGAUGACGGGAGCUUGCUCCUUGAUUCAGCGGCGGACGGGUGAGUAAUGCCUAGGAAUCUGCCUGGUAGUGGGGGACAACGUUUCGAAAGGAACGCUAAUACCGCAUACGUCCUACGGGAGAAAGCAGGGGACCUUCGGGCCUUGCGCUAUCAGAUGAGCCUAGGUCGGAUUAGCUAGUUGGUGGGGUAAUGGCUCACCAAGGCGACGAUCCGUAACUGGUCUGAGAGGAUGAUCAGUCACACUGGAACUGAGACACGGUCCAGACUCCUACGGGAGGCAGCAGUGGGGAAUAUUGGACAAUGGGCGAAAGCCUGAUCCAGCCAUGCCGCGUGUGUGAAGAAGGUCUUCGGAUUGUAAAGCACUUUAAGUUGGGAGGAAGGGCAGUAAGCUAAUACCUUGCUGUUUUGACGUUACCGACAGAAUAAGCACCGGCUAACUCUGUGCCAGCAGCCGCGGUAAUACAGAGGGUGCAAGCGUUAAUCGGAAUUACUGGGCGUAAAGCGCGCGUAGGUGGUUUGUUAAGUUGGAUGUGAAAGCCCCGGGCUCAACCUGGGAACUGCAUCCAAAACUGGCAAGCUAGAGUACGGUAGAGGGUGGUGGAAUUUCCUGUGUAGCGGUGAAAUGCGUAGAUAUAGGAAGGAACACC
rnacentral:rRNA from 1 species